rnacentral:snRNA from 1 species
AUAAUAAAGUAGAAGAGAGA